rnacentral:rRNA from 1 species
UGGAGAACUGAGGGGGGCUGCUCCUAGUACGAGAGGACCGGAGUGGACGCAUCACUGGUGUUCGGGUUGUCAUGCCAAUGGCACUGCCCGGUAGCUAAAUGCGGAAGAGAUAAGUGCUGAAAGCAUCUAAGCACGAAACUUGCCCCGAGAUGAGUUCUCCCUGACUCCUUGAGGGUCCUGAAGGAACGUUGAAGACGACGACGUUGAUAGGCCGGGUGUGUAAGCGCAGCGAUGCGUUGAGCUAACCGGUACUAAUGAACCGUGAGGCUUAACCUU